rnacentral:rRNA from 1 species
GCGAGUGGCGAACGGGUGAGUAAUAUAUCGGAACGUGCCCAGUCGAGGGGGAUAACGUAGAGAAAUUUACGCUAAUACCGCAUACGAUCUAAGGAUGAAAGCGGGGGACCGUAAGGCCUCGCGCGAUUGGAGCGGCUGAUAUCAGAUUAGGUUGUUGGUGAGGUAAAAGCUCACCAAGCCGACGAUCUGUAGCUGGUUUGAGAGAACGACCAGCCACACUGGGACUGAGACACGGCCCAGACUCCUACGGGAGGCAGCAGUGGGGAAUUUUGGACAAUGGGCGAAAGCCUGAUCCAGCAAUGCCGCGUGCAGGAAGAAGGCCUUCGGGUUGUAAACUGCUUUUGUACGGAACGAAAAGGUCUGCCCUAAUACGGCGGGCCCAUGACGGUACCUGCAGAAAAAGCACCGGCUAACUACGUGCCAGCAGCCGCGGUAAUACGUAGGGUGCAAGCGUUGUCCGGAAUUAUUGGGCGUAAAGAGCUCGUA